rnacentral:rRNA from 1 species
ACGGCGAGUGAAGCGGCAAAAGCUCAAAUUUGAAACCCUCGGGAUUGUAAUUUGAAGAUUUGGCAUUGGAGAAAGCUAACCCAAGUUGCUUGGAAUAGUACGUCAUAGAGGGUGACAACCCCGUCUGGCUAACCGUUCUCCAUGUAUUGCCUUAUCAAAGAGUCGAGUUGUUUGGGAAUGCAGCUCAAAGUGGGUGGUAAACUCCAUCUAAAGCUAAAUACUGGUGAGAGACCGAUAGCGAACAAGUACUGUGAAGGAAAGGUGAAAAGAACUUUGAAAAGAGAGUGAAAUAGUAUGUGAAAUUGUUGAUAGGGAAGGAAAUGAGUGGAGAGUGGCCGAGGUUUCAGCCGCCCCUCGUGGGCGGUGUACUGCCGACGCCGAGUCAUCGAUAGCGAGACGAGGGUUACAAAUGGGAGCGCCUUUCGGGCGUUCUCCCCUAACCCUCCACACUGCCACCGACGACAUAAUCCACCCAUUUCACCCGUCUUGAAACACGGACCA